CACCCAUCAUCCAGCACUCACACACACAUCAUCCAGCACUCACACACAUCAUCCAGCACUCACACAAACACCCAUCAUCCAGCACACACACAUCAUCCCACACACACACACACAUCAUCCAGCACACACACCCAUCAUCCAGCACUCACACAAACACCCAUCAUCCAGCACUCACACAAACACCCAUCAUCCAGCACUCACACACACAUCAUCCAGCACACACACACAUCAUCCAGCACACACACACACAUCAUCCAGCACACACACACACAUCAUCCAACACUCACACAC